rnacentral:lncRNA from 1 species
CAGGGGUGUGCUCCUGCUGAGACCCUCUUUGCUCUUCUCUCCCUCUUUCUGCAGAGAAGAGGCCUCUAACAAGGUAAUGAAGCUGACUUAUUAAGAACUCCUGUGUCAGGCCAGGUGUGUCAGGUCUCUCUCUGGGUGUGGCAAAUAGCGGUGCACCUUGCCCCAGCUGCAAAUCAUUCCCCUUUGUGCUGCUGAAUCCAUUGGAUCUAGAGGAAUAUGUGACAUUACACAUCAACCUUGCACUGUGCAUCUGGUGUUAUGCUUAAAAGAUAUGUGAUGGAGAUGGAGAACGUCCUCACAGGGUCAUCCUCUCUCUAAAACUCCAUUGAUACCAUUCCCCAACCUUUGGAAGCUGCCCACAGGCUUUCACCAUAACCCCUGAGACACAGCCAGCACAAGGCAGCUGGGGAUGACCUGAAAUUCAUGCUGAAGGCAGAGACACUUCUACAUUCAAAGCCUCCAAUUUCCACUACCAAGCUGGUCAGCCCAUGAAGAAGCGGGAAAUGGCCUUUUAUCUUUCAAAGUAGCCACCAAAAGUAAGUGCUAUUUUAGGAUAAGGCUUAACUAACUUCACUUUGGAUGCUGCUGCCUCUUUCAG